rnacentral:rRNA from 1 species
UACAGGGGGGGCAAGCGUUGUUCGGAAUUACUGGGCGUAAAGGGCUCGUAGGCGGCCAACUAAGUCACACGUGAAAUCCCUAGGCUUAACCUGGGAACUGCAUCCGAUACUGGAUGGCUUGAAUCCGGGAGAGGGAUGCAGAAUUCCAGGUGUAGCGGUGAAAUGCGUAGAUAUCUGGAGGAAUACCGGUGGCGAAGGCGGCAUCCUGGACCGGCAUUGACGCUGAUGAGCGAAAGCGUGGGGAGCAAACAGG